GACGAACGCUGGCGGCGUGCCUAAUACAUGCAAGUAGAACGCUGAAGGAGGAGCUUGCUUCUCUGGAUGAGUUGCGAACGGGUGAGUAACGCGUAGGUAACCUGCCUGGUAGUGGGGGAUAACUAUUGGAAACGAUAGCUAAUACCGCAUAAUAGCAGUUGUUGCAUGAUAACUGUUUGAAAGGUGCAAUUGCACCGCUACCAGAUGGACCUGCGUUGUAUUAGCUAGUUGGUGGGGUAACGGCUCACCAAGGCGACGAUACAUAGCCGACCUGGGAGGGGGAUACGGCACACUGGGACUGAGGAAAGGGCCAAGCCCCUACGGGAGGGCAGGGGAGGGAAUUUUUGGCAAAGGGCGGGAGUCGUGACCGACAAACGCGGGUGGGGGAAAAAGGUUUUUGGGAUGGUAAGCCUUUGUUGUAAGAAAAAAAGGGGUGGGGGGGUGAAAAUUCCACACGGAGGGGGUAUUAAACAGAAAAGGGAGGGAAAUUCCGG
rnacentral:rRNA from 1 species